GUUCCUUCAGAAUUAUGAUCAGAUAUUGAAGAGGAUGAUUUUUGUUUAGUGUCCAACAUGCCCAUUUGCUGUGCAUUUUAUUUCGACAGAUGUUGUCUAAAACACCAGAAUUAUCAUCAGAUAUUGAAGAGGAUGAUUUUUGUUUAGUAAGUUUUUUAUUUAUAACAAUAUCUAUUGCAUUGCCCAGGUAACUUCUUUCCUACAGCAAGCUUCCCUAUUUCCAUAGCCAGAGAUACACACUUAAUCCAGAUCAAAUACAAAUCUGCCACUAUUAUCAGAAAAAUAUUCCCUUUAGUCUAAGGUAUUUUGCCUCAUCCUGGCUGCCUUUCCUUCUUACUCUAGCCAGUGAUUCUCCACACUAGGAGGGGAACAUUAUGGAAAUACGCAGGUGUGGUUUGGCUUGUCACAAUGACAGAGGGGUUCUCCUGACAAUAGGUAAGCACAAUCCUAGCUAGGAUGCUUAUCAUCCUACAACAUUUAGGACCAUGUCGCACAACUGAAAAAUAAUCCCCCUAUUAAGAAACACUUAGACAACUUGAACCAUUAACUUUGUCUAUUUUCUUUUAAUAUCUUCAACUCUCAUACUCUAUCUUUCUGCCACAUACCCAUUUAAAUUAAAAAAAUAGAAUCCAUCAUCUGUUCGCAUCUUACUAUUAACACCAAGGCUACUAAGCUUUGAGAAAAUUGUACAUAUUUAUGAACAUAUUUAUGCUAUAAAAUUCACAGUCAUAUUUAAACUGGGUCCUCAACAUUAUCUAACACUUAUUCUUAGGCCUCUCCAUUACCUUGCACACAGUUUUACAUGUCCCUGAACCCUGUACUUCAACAGAUCUCCAGGAGAAACUCACCAUCUUCACACUUCAGAAAAAAACAAAAGCUAUUAGAUGUUCCUCCUUUACAAGCUUAUCUGCAUUGCUGAUCACCUCCUGUUUCUCCAAGAAACUAUUUUCUCUUAUCCAUUCCUGCUCUGUCUUUUCAACUACCUGGAACAAAUGCCCUUCUCCUCGAUAUCCAUUUGACUCUUUAUUGACCUUUCAAAAGUCAAUUCACUCUCCGUAUUUUCUUAAAAAGCAUCUCCUGAUCUUCACCCUCACCUCUAGCUAUGGGGUUAGGCACUUGACCCUCUACUUGGUUCCUACUGCAGUCUAUAUGUGUACAUCUGAGAAUGCUUAUAUAACGUAGUAUCUAAUUUUCAUGCUAGAUUCUGAGGAAUUUAAGGACACAGUCCACUUGUAUCUCACAUUCCUAUACCAGAGCCUUCCCCAUAGCAGUCACUAAUUUGUAUAAUAAACUAAAUAAUUAUGGCAGGUUCGUUUAUGCUUCCAAAUGUGUAAAUCAAGUUAUAGUGAAUUAAUAUUCAUAAGUCUUAUUGUAAGCACAGUAAAUGCGUCAUAUGCCAGAAGGACCCUACUUUCAAGGGCAAUAAAUGAUAUUUAGGGGAAAAAAGGUAAUACUUAAAAUGAGACACUUGCAGCUUGCAAAAGGAGUUAGCUCAAUACACAUUUCCACAAUUACUUGAAAAAAAUAUUUUUAAAAUACUUUCAAGGUAAAGUUACUUUGUCUGUAUUAUCUCUUCUAUGUCUUCCUUCUGAUGGUCUAGAUUUCAGUGAUGCAACAUUAUCC